rnacentral:tRNA from 1 species
GGGUUGCUAACUCAACGGUAGAGUACUCGGCUUUUAACUAGAACUUUGGCUCGUAAACAUAAAAGUACAGUACGC